rnacentral:rRNA from 1 species
CACGUAGGGCGCAAGCGUUGUCCGGAAUUAUUGGGCGUAAAGAGCUCGUAGGCGGUUUGUUGCGUCGGCUGUGAAAUCCCGAGGCUCAACCUCGGGUCUGCAGUCGAUACGAGCAAACUAGAGUGUUGCAGGGGAGACUGGAAUUCCUGGUGUAGCGGUGAAAGUGCGCAGAUAUCAGGAGGAACACCGGUGGCGAAGGCGGGUCUCUGGGCAACAACUGACGCUGGAGGAGCGAAAGCCGUGGGGAGCGAACAGG